AUAAUACUUAAAAAUAAUCCUGCUGCAUCAGCAAGCAAUCCCUGUGUUGUCAGCGCAAGGCUUUGGUGGACACAUGAUCAUACAGCCUGGUGGGAAGUUGAUGAAGAGAACUGUCCCUAACUCUAGACUAACGUCACUGCCUUCAGUACCCUGGACCUGAGGACUGUGAAAAGCAAGGGGUCCGCAUAGAGGAGAGAAGAGACACAGCAGAUUCAAGUAUUGGAGGGAUUUACCUGUGCCGGUCACCUGAGGAGCUGCAGCUGCUGUCCUUCUGCUGCCAUCGGAGUCCCCCCCACCUCUUCCCACCAUGUCAAUGGCUAGUGGGCCUUGGCAGGUCAAGAUUCAUAUGGUUCAGCAAAAUAAUUUGAGGGGAGAGAGAAUAUUGCACUGA